rnacentral:tRNA from 1 species
GGAGUUGUGGCUCAGUGGUAGAGCGCUCGCCUUGCACGUGCGAGACUCUAGGUUCCAUCCCUAGCACCA